UAAAAAAAAAGUUCAAGUGACGCAAUGCCAAACGUCACGAGUGUAACUGUAUUUUAUCUCCAUUCAAAAUGUCAAGAACCAAAAAUCGGGAAAAAAAAUGUCACCUUUCCAUAUUCGACUCCGAUUGACACCAACUUCGAAAAUGAAAUUCAACCAGCACCAAACGUAACGAGUCUAACUAUGUUUUGUUUCGUCCGUUUGGGCAACUUGCACGUACCGAGUGGCUUGAUGGUGCUGUCCGCGCCGUCCUUGUCCUUGCUCGGCUUGCCGCUGGACAUUAGCGCCGCGAUGGAGAAGGCGUUAGCGCGUGAGGAAAGCUGCGGCUUUGAGGAGCUGCGGCCAAUGUAGUCGCAUGAUGGAGGAGAAAAAGAAGGUGGAAGCGAAGGAGGACAUCCAGGACUUGCAGAGGUUCAUACGUCACGCUGUCCCGCCUUGGUAGCCAAUCAGAGGAGACCUUGCGGGGGGAAGGGCCAAAGAAGACGUC